CAGUAGCCACGGUAAUACGGAGGGUGCAAGCGUUAAUCGGAAUUACUGGGCGUAAAGCGCACGCAGGCGGUUUGUUAAGUCAGAUGUGAAAUCCCCGAGCUUAACUUGGGAACUGCAUUUGAAACUGGCAAGCUAGAGUCUUGUAGAGGGGGGUAGAAUUCCAGGUGUAGCGGUGAAAUGCGUAGAGAUCUGGAGGAAUACCGGUGUCGAAGGCGGCCCCCUGGACAAAGACUGACGCUCAGGUGCGAAAGCGUGGGGAGCAAACAGGAUUAGAUACCCCAGUAGUCCCUGUCUCUUAUAC
rnacentral:rRNA from 1 species